rnacentral:rRNA from 1 species
AAACUAGGAUUAGAUACCCUAUUAUUAAAAUUUAAAUUGAAAAUACUAAAAUAGUAGAUAAUUAUUUAUUGAAACUUAAAUAAUUUGGCGGUAUUUUAGUUCAUUUAGAGGAAUCUGUUUAAUAAUUGAUAAUCCACGAAUAAAUUUACUUAAUUUUUUAUUUUGUAUAUCGUUGUUAAAAAAAUAUUUUUUAAUAAUAAUAAUAUUUAAAAAUUUUGAUUAAAAAUUAAAUCAGAUCAAGAUGCAGAUUAUAAUUAAGAAUAUAAUGGAUUACAAUAAAUUUAUUUAGAUGAAUAUUAAU